GGCUUUCAAUAUCUGCUCAGGAGAAAAACUGCGAAUAGGAAUGGAUUUACCGUUACAAUCAGCUACAAGUUCUCUUAAGAAGAUGCUUCCGUUAUCCAAGAACCACCUCUUCGCCUUGUCCUUUUCCUUCCUUGUCCCAGAUCCAGAUUUCAGAUACUGCUUCUUCAUUAGUUCCUUUACCAA